rnacentral:rRNA from 1 species
CUACGCGUGGCAGCAGUGAGGAAUAUUGCACAAUGGGGGGAACCCUGAUGCAGCAACGCCGCGUGGAGGAUGACGCAUUUCGGUGUGUAAACUCCUUUUAUAUGUCAAGAAAAUGACGGUAGCAUAUGAAUGAGCACCGGCUAACUCCGUGCCAGCAGCCGCGGUAAUACGGAGGGUGCAAGCGUUACUCGGAAUCACUGGGCGUAAAGGACGCGUAGGCGGGUUGGAAAGUCAGGUGUGAAAUCCUACAGCUUAACUGUAGAACUGCACUUGAAACUUCUAAUCUAGAGUAUGGGAGGGGGAGAUGGAAUUAGUGGUGUAGGGGUAAAAUCCGUAGAUAUCACUAGGAAUACCUAAAGCGAAGGCGAUCUCCUGGAACAUUACUGACGCUAAGGCGUGAAAGCGUGGGGAGCAAACAGGAUUAGAUACCCCCGUAGUC